ACGCAGACACACCCACGUGUUGGCCACCCUUAACGUUUCGUUCGAGAAAGAAGUGAGAAGUGGUGAGGGUCUAUUGACAUUGGGUAUCGUACUACGUAUACGCCGAGCAAAAAGAAAGAAACAGGAGGGAGAGAGUGUACGAAAAUACGGUUGCCGUUUACAAAGAAAAUCUUUCCACGAAAAUGCUAUUGUAAGAUUUUCGAACGAACCUUUGAAUCCUGUAUACGCUGGAAAAAGAAGGAAAGAAGCGAAGAAACGACGAAGAUGCUGUAAGAGGUAUAUACGUAUCGAGUAGAUAAAAAUAUCGAGGGCAGAAGGUCGGAGAAUUGGUAAGAUACAAUUUUAUUACGUAUUAAGAAAAGCUAGGAUUAAUCUUUAAUUUUUAAAUAAAUUAAUCUGCUACGUAAACUAAUUUAUAGUUGCUGGAAGAUAUAAUUACCGAUUGGUGAAUAAAUAAAUUUCAAGAAGC
rnacentral:misc_RNA from 1 species